AUACGUAGGGUGCAAGCGUUAAUCGGAAUUACUGGGCGUAAAGCGUGCGCAGGCGGUUUUGUAAGACAGAGGUGAAAUCCCCGGGCUCAACCUGGGAACUGCAAUUGUGACUGCAAGGCUGGAGUGCGGCAGAGGGGGAUGGAAUUCCGCGUGUAGCGGUGAAAUGCGUAGAUAUGCGGAGGAACACCGAUGGAGAAGGCAAUCCCCUGGGCCUGCACUGACGCUCAUGCACGAAAGCGUGGGGAGCAAACAGGAUUAGAUACCCUGGUAGUCCACGCCCUAAACGAUGUCAACUGGUUGUUGGGGAUUUAUUUUCUCAGUAACGAAGCUAACGCGUGAAGUUGACCGCCUGGGGAGUACGGCCGCAAGGUUAAAACUCAAAUGAAUUGGCGGGG
rnacentral:rRNA from 1 species